UACGGGGGGGGCAAGCGUUGUUCGGAAUUACCGGGCGUAAAGGGCGCGUAGGCGGCCGCCUAAGUCAGACGUGAAAUCCCUCGGCUCAACCGGGGAACUGCGUCUGAUACUGGGUGGCUUGAAUCCGGGAGAGGGAUGCGGAAUUCCAGGUGUAGCGGUGAAAUGCGUAGAGAUCGGCAGGAACACCCAGGGAGAAAUCAGCCGCCUGGGCAAGUGCUGACGUUGAGGUGCGAAAGCGUGGGGAGCGAACCGG
rnacentral:rRNA from 1 species